AACGAACGCUGGCGGCAUGCCUAACACAUGCAAGUCGAACGAGACCUUCGUGUCUACUUGCGCACGGGUGCGUAACGCGUGGGAACCUGCCCUUAUGUUCGGAAUAACUCCCCUAAAGGGGUGCUAAUACCGGAUAAUGUCUUCCGACCAAAGAUUUAUCGCCUUUGGAUGGGCCCGCGUUGGUUUAGCUAGUUGGUAGUGUAAAAGCCUACUAAGGCGACGAUCCAUAGCUGGUCGGGGAGGAUGAUCAGCCACACUGGGACUGAGGCACGGCCGGGAAUACUAGGCGAGGGAGCAGAGGGGAAUACUGGCCAAUCGGCGAAGGCCUGAUCCAGCUAUGCCGCGUGAGUGCUGAAGGCCUUAGGGUAGUGAAGCUGUUUUAAACGCGAUGAUAAUGACAGUACCGGGAGAAUAAGCUCCGGCUAACUCCGUG
rnacentral:rRNA from 1 species